rnacentral:rRNA from 1 species
AUUGAACGCUGGCGGCGUGCUUAACACAUGCAAGUCGAUCGGUAACGCGGGGGCAACCCUGGCGACGAGAGGCGGACGGGUGAGGGACGCUUGGGAAUCUGCCCUUCAGCGGGGGACAACACGGGGAAACUCGUGCUAAUACCGCAUACGCUCCACGGAGGACAGCGGGGGACCGCAAGGCCUGGCACUCAAGGAUCCGCCCAAGUCGGAUUAGCUAGUUGGCGGGGUAACGGCCCACCAAGGCGACGAUCCGUAGCCGGUCUGAGAGGACGGUCAGCCACACUGGGACUGAGACACGGCCCAGACUCCUACGGGAGGCAGCAGUGGGGAAUAUUGGACAAUGGGGGAAACCCUGAUCCAGCGACGCCGCGUGGGUGAAGAAGGCCUGCGGGUUGUAAAGCCCUUUCGGUAGGGACGAAAGCUCUCGACCUAACACGUCGGGAGGUUGACUUAACCUACAAAAGAAGCACCGGCUAACUCUGUGCCAGCAGCCGCAGUAAUAC